GGGGCUGUAGCUCAAUUGGUAGAGCGCUUCGUUCGCAACGAAGAGGUCAGCGGUUCGAUCCCGCUCAGCUCCACCA
rnacentral:tRNA from 1 species